rnacentral:lncRNA from 1 species
GGGGCAUUCAGGGGAGACUUCAACCCGGGAAACUCCAAAACAGUCUCGGUCAGAUCCUUGAAGCUCUUGGUAGUUUGUUCCCCGAUUUUCGGAAAAUACAGAAAAACCGCAAGAGCUGCAGCGCCAGAGGUGUAAAAGUAGUAGGUGGGAAUGCCGAGUUCCUUCGCCAUUGGCAGCGCAGAGGAGCAGAAGAUGUCGAUGAUAAAAGCGCGAAUGGCUGAAGAUUUAGAGAUCUCUUGGAGGGCAAGACGGACAUGUGGAUCAUUCCGGCGAAUGAAAUCGAACAAUAUGGCCUCGAAGCUGAUGGGAAUUAAUGUAAUUUUAUUUUCAACGCGAGGAAAUUGGUGGAAGGAGAUGGAAGGAUAGGCUCGGGAGAUGCGCUGGAUGUAGGCGGGGAUGCUUGGAGUGUCAACCAAACUGCCACAAGUGUAGAGAAUGGUAAUGGAGAAUUUUCUGGGGUAGCGAUUGAGAAUGAGCUUGCCUAGCUCAACCAUGGAGAUUAUGUGUCCCAUUCCUGGAGCUGCGUAGAGGACUAUUGUGUCUUCUUCCAUGGCUUUGGUUGGUUUGUGUUUCUGGUUUUCCCUUUUCAUUGCUCAAAGCUUUUGAGGGAGAAGACGUUUUGAAAUACUCUUCACUAAAAGUAGAUGGAAAUUCAAGUCUUAGGUGAAGCACGAGGCAAGGCACAGGUUGUACGCCAUCAUUUAUCAUGAUCAAAAGAAAAAGGGAAAUGGUUUUUUAAUGGAAUAACUAGGUUCUCACAUGCAUGAACAAGAGUCUUUGAUGUGCAUGUAUUACAUUUUCCACACUCAAACCAAGUUGUCAAAUCGAAAUGGAUAGAUUCCACAUGGUAGAAUAAAACCAUGAAAAUGACUAGAAAUAUCAUAAGUUUUCUAUGGGCCGAGAAAUAUCAUAAGUUUUCUCUCAAGUUUUCUAUGGGCUGCUUUUAAUGUUAAGAGUGGCAAGCUUCUGUAUGUUCAUGGGAUAAACCUGGCUAAGGUCCCCAUUGAAAGCUUUCCUCCCAAUUAUGAUGUUGGCUGCUGCUGUUGGGUGGAAAGCAUCCCAGAAUAUGUACUGGUCUCGAUUCGGGCAUGGUGUUUGGAGUGGAAGACAUGUAAUUUGGCCUCUGUUGCGCCCAAUGCCACAGCAUCCACGAUUUGCAACAGUGAAUCCUAGAAAUAAAAUUGCAAACGGGUUGAGACAUGGUCAACAAAGACAAAAUCUAAAGUUCUAUUUCAGUGAAGAAUGACUUGAAGUUAAAUAGUAGCCAGGCAUUUACCAUAAGAUCUGGCAUUGUUGACGAUGUCUUCGAAUAUUCGAGCAAUGUCAAUGUAAAUGAACUUUGCGCCUGGCAAGUUGGUGUUAAGUUUGUUGAUCAUUGUCUUCACAUUUGCAUUAAACGGUAGAACAAGGCGAUUCACUUCCUCAUUGCACCUUCCACUUGGACUCUGGGCCAAGAUACUUGGAAUGCAGCCCAUUCUCCCUAAUCCAGCAACAACAAACUUUCGAGCACCAAGAUUAUAGAGUCUCUGUAACAUGUCACAUACAGUAGGAUGUUAACUUAGGUAACUUACAGAGUCUAUCACAUGUGAUCAAGUCAUGGAAAAUGCGCGCCUACAGGUGAGCCCAUGAAUAGAAGUUCUUACAGUGAGUUGCUGGGUGUAUUGUUGAGUCAAAAGAUCAGCAAAUUGUGGAGCAUUGUACUGAGUUCUUGUGGGAUAGUUGGGCAUAAGAUAAUUGUUUAGGUAGUCAUUGCUGCCCAUUCCAACAAAGAAGAUGCAGUCUGCAAUUGCCCCGGCCACGUCAUCUGCCCCGAGAUUGUCUGUAAUCUGAUCAAGGGUACUCUGGAAGUUCCUUAUUUGUUCACCAAAAGGUAUUCUUCCCACCUGACACCAAAACAAUUGUUACCAAACAGUGGAACAUUGAAACACAUGCUUCUGGUUAAUUGUAGGCUGUAUAGUUUAGAUAUGUUGGAACAUGGCAAAAGAUUGAACUUGUGUUAUGUAAAGCACUAAGGCUUCUGCUAAUCCAUUUAAAAUCAAAUUCCUCAGUUAAAAAUUUCAGGAAAAAUAAAAUAAAAUAAAUUUUGUGGAUGAAGUAGUUAAUUAUAAUUACAAAGUUUCUGCCAGUGAUAUCAAGGAUUCCAGCUGCUGCAGAUGCAUAAUUGACUCCAUGAAGCACUUGGUCUCCAGAAGCUUCAGAAAAAGGAGGAAUCAAGGGAAGUCCUAGCAGUUCAGCUGCAUAUUGAAUAUUAUAUUUAUGUUAAAAUAAUAUACAUCAAAAUCACUUGGAAAACCCAAGAGAAACAAAUUUCUUUUUAAAAAAAUUAUAUUUUUUAUAAAUAAAAAAACACCAAUGUUGAAAUAUUGCCAUGAUUUAUAUCCAAAUUGGGAAUGAAAAGGCCCCCUUUAUAUGUAAAAAUGGUAGGACAGGUGGGUCCAUGCCAUAGCAGAGAGACAAAUUCUAUCUUUCUCGUACAGAGCAUACCAACAUUACCAAAGGGUAACCCAUAAUAUAUCUACAAAUUAAGGAUGGCUUUCAGAUCACUUAAUUUAUGUUUAAUUAAAGACCCAAUUUUAAAAAAUAAAGAACCAAUUUACCAACCCAAGAUGUUUCUUGCUCCCACACAUAAAAAGAUUAAAAUAUAUACAUAAACUUUGUGACUUAAAUUCAAUCAUAAUACACUGAAAUACUGAUCUCACAGCAAAACAUAUUACACUACAAAAUCAAAGAAGAGGAUCUAGUAGAGAGAGAGAGAGAGAGAGAGAGAGAGAGAGAGAGAGAGAGAGAGAGAGAGACCUAUUUCAUCAACCAUGGUGUAACCAUUGGAAAAACGACCGGUAGGGCCACCAUUGAAAUCAAUGCCAUAGGGGAAAUAGUUAGCCUUGGCAAAUGAUGGGAUGUUGUUGUUGUUGCCAUUGUCAAUCAAAGAGUCUCCAAACACAAACAUGGCAGGCACCAUUUCUGCGCUCCUCCCACCACCACCCACUUGACCUUGUGGUGCUGCUGCUGCUGCAGCCGCUGAUGAAAAGUUCACAUCUUGGCCCCAAACCGCCCCACCCAGCACCAUCAACCAGAAAACCACCAAAGAAAAAACCCUAAUUGGGGCCUUGGCCAUGAAUGAAUUAAUGUGUUUUGCUUGUUUUGAGAUGAUGAAUAUGUGGGAGAAAGUGAGAGAGCCACCUGUGUUGAUAAUGAAUGAGGUUUUUGAGUAUUGGCAAGAGCAUGCAAGGGAUGAUUUAAUAGGCGAGGCAAGGCGGUGGUUGUGAAUGGAAUAAAUGUUUUCACCUGUUAUCUUACGUGCAGGAAUUGAAGUAAAGAGUCCAUUUUUGUUCAAGGAUAAAUAAGAGUUUACUUUCCCAGCAUUGUUCUGCAUGCAGCUUCAAAUUCCCUCGCUAUUUUAUUUUAUUUUUUCCGUCUUUGGUUACAAACGGGGCCCGAGGCCGAAGCAAAACCAAUAGGCACAAGAGACUAAAGUUCAAGGUAGUUUGCUUUUAUCACAUGGUAAUAGUUAUUACGAUGCUUCUUUCAAAAAAAUAAUAAUAAUAAAUAAAUAAAUAUAUAUAUAUAUAUAGUUAGUAAUUAUGAUGCUGCGAAUGGGGUGCCCAGUGAAAAAGGUUAUCAACUUGCACAAGACCUUAAGUUCAAAUUUUUAUGGCAUCUUAGUUAUAUGUGUGUGAGAAAUCCCCUCUCCUUAGUUAUAUGUGUGUGAGAAAUAAUUAUUACAAUACUAUCUCUAGUCUUUUGGUAAGAGCAUUAGCAAUGCAUUCCCUAACCCACAUCAGACAAAAAUUCAAAUUAAUUUGUUUUUUUUUUGUUGAUAUUUUAUUUAUUUUUUGCCAAAGGGGAGGGGAACACAUAGUUACAAUAAGUUUUUGAAGUCAUAACCACUUGGGAACGCACCAAAGAUCUGGAUCGAUCCAACUAACGACUCAUUAGUCAAAGUAAUUUGCUUUUACCAAUUAUUCCGAUGCUCUCUCUAGUUUUUUAUAGUUUGGUAAACGACGUAAGUUCAAGGCAGGCAGAGUUAGGUUCAAACCACCACUCUUGGAACCCAAUAUGUAAAGACACCUAGACCUAGCUGCCAUUUUAGAGUUUUAGGAACUUGAAUGAAGUUAUGGCAAAGACACCUAGACCUAGCUGCCAUUUUAGAGUUUUAGGAACUUCAAUGAAGUUAUGGGAAAAAGGACUGGUUAGCAAAUACACUUCAUUUGCUAUGACCUAGCUCACAGCAAAGUAUUAAAAGAUUUCCAAAUAUAGUAGCAUGCUUAAUGUUGGUGGAGCCAACAUGCCCUUUUAUUAAUGUUCUUGUUUUGGACUUAAACCUUUCAAUACAUUUCUAUCGUUUGGCCCAAAGAAAAAAAAAAAAAAAACCACCAAAAUAAGAGAGAAGAAAAAGGUAAAAUCUACGAGCUACUUCCAACAACUAUGAUAAAUGAAGGCAAUACAUUUAAAUUAUAAAAGUUUAAUUAUUGAAGGAAUUAUAAAGUUUUGAACCUGGUUCUACUACUAUAAUAUUCAUUUGCAUAAUUUGUUAAAGAUAAAAUAAAUUCAAAGACUUCUUUUUCUCAACUUUGAGCUAUUUCAAUUUCAACAUAUUUUUUCUUAUAAUUUUUUUCUUUAAUAAAAUAGAAUGAUAACCACUAUAUAUGACACUCAGCUUUACCAGAUAAAAGCAUAGUGUUUACAGACUGAGAAUACAUAAAUGUGAUGUGUUACAUUUUCCACACUCAAACAAAUUAAGAAUAUAUAAAGUAAAAUCAAAACGAAUGGAGCCAAAUGGUAAAGUAGAUAGGAAGCACCCAACUUUAAUUGCUAGAAAUAUAUGGAAGGUUCAAUAAUUUCUAAUGGUUGCUUUUUUUUUUUCUUUCGAAAAUAAGCGAUAGUAUAUUAUUGAUGAACAAACAAAAGUACAAAGUAACUAUGUGCCGAAUAUGGGUAAAUAUUUUUCAGUGACCAAAUAGUUGGGUAAAGGGCAAAGACAUUUACUUAAAUGCUGAAAAUGAAAAUAAAGUAAUUUGUAUACUUAGAGUGCACCACCAUCAGCUAAACAAAUGGGCCAUUUGAAGCACCUAUAAUGGUUUUUCUGGCGAAGGAAGGUGCAACUGCACCUCCUUACGCAUUUAGUGAAAAAAUUUUAAACACAAUAAGAUGGACAAGAAGAUGCACCCUUGGUAUUUUCCUUUAUUUUUUUAUUCACCAAGUGCAAAGUGCAAAUACAUAACUUAUGCAAUGCUAUUAACAAAGUUAACGAAGUUUCUAGUGGAUGAACCAGACUCACUCCAAGCCGCCAAAGCUAUCUCUCCCAUUUUCCUGCUCCUUUCUCUAAGCUCUUCCCCUUUUUCCGACUCCAUCAACUCCCUAACGCUUCUCUCCAAUUCAUCCCCCAACACAAACCAUCUUCCUCUCUCUGCUUCACAGCAAUUGCCAUUUCCAUGUCCUUCACCAAAAUACUUUUAUUCAAAUGCUGCUUUGCAUAGAGUGACCAUGCCACCAUCGGCACGCCGGCAAUCACCGCUUCAAGCACCGAGUUCCACCUACAAUGCCUCACGAACCUGCCCACGGAUUCCUUCUUCAACACCGCCACUUGCGGCGCCCAUGACUUCACCACCAAGCCUUCAUCUUAGGUCCUCUCCAAGAACCCUUAUGGCCACAAACCUUCCAACUCAAAGUCAUGUACUCCUUGGACCUGCUUGGUUUUCUCAUCAAGGGGAAGCUUCUUCAUCACCCACAAAAACCUCUGUCCACUCUUUUCCAACCCAUCUGUUAUCUCUUUCAAUUGAGCCCCUGAGAAUGAUCCUCUGCUUCCAAAACAGAGAAACACCACACUUCUACUUGGCUGCUGAUCAAGCCAUGACAAACAAUCUUCUGCAUCUGCAGAAUCCCCAAAUUCUUUUUCUUCAGAAAUCAAUAGCCCGAUGUAGUAGACAUGAGGAGUGGGAGCAUUAGGAACACAAAGACCUCCAACAAUGGCUUUGAGGACUGCAGGAGGCUCGAGCUCUUCAAACGUGUUGGCUAUGAUCCCAUUAGAUUUGGGAAGGUGGGUGCAGAAGUAGACCAUGUCCCAAUAAGCAGGGUCAUCUCGGUCAAGCAUUGGCUCAGGCAUGUGAGGGGCAUUCAGGGGGGACUUCAACCCGGGAAACUCUAAAACAGUCUCGGUCAAAUCCUUGAAGCUAUUGGUGGUUUGUUCCCCGAUUUUCGGAAAGUACAGAAAAACCGCAAAAGCUGCAGCUCCAGAGGUGUAAAAGUCGUAGGUGGGAAUGCCGAGUUCCUUCACCAUUGGCAGCGCAGAGGAGCAGAAGAUGUCGAUGAUAAAAGCACGAAUGGCUGAAGAUUUAGAGAUCUCUUGGAGGGCAAGG